CAUGGACACGUGCAAAGAAUAUGCCCAGCUGCAAUUACAUCACCUCACUGGACAUAACCAAUGGACAUUGACUUUCAUUGGGUAUAACCAAUCACCAACAUACACCACCAACUUGGAACUCUAUUUAAAUUGCUGGUCCUGCCACAUUAGAGUCUUGCUCCAAGGACAUCAGAGAGACUGACCGCCUUGCUGCCUUGCUGUCCAUCCCUGACUCCACCAUUCCCUGACGUCCAGCCAUAGGCUGAAGAGAACCACCAGACAAGAACAACGUCUGCUCUUUGGCUAAGAGAAGUCGCGUGGCAUCAGAGCUUUCAUGGAGACGAUAUGGUUCAAUCAUCUCUUCAAAGACUUUCCAGCUGAAAUUGGAAUUGUAAAGGAGGCUUCACAGUGGGAAACUAACUCAUUAUUUCACAGAUACUCCAGAGUUUUACUCUCUGAGAAGAGGACAGCAUGGGAGAAAGCUCAGGAUAGUAGGAUUAAGAGUGCCCACACUUGGACAGGUACACAAAGAAUGAAGAGACCUGGUUAGUGGAAGGAGUUCAUCAACACUCCCAGUGGCUGACAGCUUAGAAAGGAAGAAUAUGCAGGAUGGUGAUCUUGGCAGCUGGACACAGGUAUAUAUGAAAUUUCACUGAGGAAUCUGGAUAAUCAAAGGGCAGAUCCAAUCCAUUUGCAAAAAUGUUCCACAGGUGACUGAUUGUGAUUCUAAAUAUAUCAAAAUUCUGUUUGCUGGGCUGAGGCUGUAACUCAGUGGUAGAGUGCUUGCCUAGCACA